rnacentral:Y_RNA from 1 species
GAGUGGUCUAAAGGUAGUGAGUUAUUCUCAACUGAUUGUUAGUUACACAUCAAACUCCUUGUUUUAACUCACUCCUCCCUUCUCACUACUGCACUUGACUACUCUUUA